rnacentral:rRNA from 1 species
GACGAACGCUGGCGGCGUGCUUAACACAUGCAAGUCGAACGGAAAGGCCCUGCUUUUGUGGGGUGCUCGAGUGGCGAACGGGUGAGUAACACUUGAGUAACCUGCCCUUGACUUUGGGAUAACUUCAGGAAACUUGGGCUAAUACCGGAUAGGAGCUCCUGCUGCAUGGUGGGGGUUGGAAAGUUUCGGCGGUUGGGGAUGGACUCGCGGCUUAUCAGCUUGUUGGUGGGGUAGUGGCUUACCAAGGCUUUGACGGGUAGCCGGCCUGAGAGGGUGACCGGCCAAAUUGGGAAUGAGAGACGGCACAGACUCCUACGGGAGGCAGCAGUGGGGAAUAUUGCACAAUGGGCGGAAGCCUGAUGCAGCAACGCCGCGUGCGGGAUGACGGACUUCGGGUUGUAAACCGCUUUCGCCUGUGAAGAAGAGGGAGUGAAGGUAAUGGGUAAAGAAGAACCGGAUAACUAAGUG